UACGUAGGGUGCAAGCGUUGUCCGGAAUUAUUGGGCGUAAAGGGCUCGUAGGCGGUCCAUCGCGUCGGGAGUGAAAAAGCUGGGGCUUAACCCCCAGUCCUGCUUCCGAUACGGGUGGACUAGAGGUAGGUAGGGGAGAACGGAAUUCCUGGUGUAGCGGUGAAAUGCGUAGAUAUCGUAAGGAAGACCAGUGGCGAAGGCGGGUCUCUGGACAGUUUCCUGACGCUG
rnacentral:rRNA from 1 species